GACGAACGCUGGCGGCGUGCUUAACACAUGCAAGUCGAACGGUGAAGCGCCUUCCUUUUUGGUGGGUGUGGAUGAGUGGCGAACGGGUGAGUAACACGUGAGUAACCUGCCCCCUUCUUCUGGAUAACCGCAUGAAAGUGUGGCUAAUACGGGAUAUUCUGGGUCUGUCGCAUGAUGGGUCUGGGAAAGAUAUUGUUUCGGUGGGGGAUGGGCUCGCGGCCUAUCAGCUUGUUGGUGGGGUGAUGGCCUACCAAGGCGGUGACGGGUAGCCGGCCUGGGAGGGUGGACGGUCACACUGGGACUGAGACACGGCCCAGACUCCUACGGGAGGCAGCAGUGGGGAAUAGUGCACAAUGGGCGCAAGCCUGAUGCAGCGACGCCGCGUGAGGGAUGGAGGCCUUCGGGUUGUGAACCUCUUUCGCCAGUGAAGCAGGCCUGCCUCGUUUGUGGGUGGGUUGACGGUAGCUGGAUAAGAAGCGCCGGCUAACUACGUG
rnacentral:rRNA from 1 species